ACUGCGGAAGGAUCAUUACCGAUUCUAAUACCUCAAUCACUGUGCAUUCGGUCGCUGUGCGCGCAUUCUCCUGUCGGGGUCGGUCCUUAGGGAUCGGUAAAUCGGGGCUUCGUUCUGAGCCCCGACUGGAGGUCCCAUGCGUGUGCAGCGGUGUCACCGCCUCGUGCUUCGCGGCGCGGGGCGUUCUUGUAAACCUUUUUCAACCUUGCAAUCUUGCAGACUGUACUGUCGGGCUUUCUAACGAAAGCUUGUCUUGAUUUUGAAAUCAUGGACAACUUUCAACGGUGGAUCUCUUGGCUCGUGGAUCGAUGAAGAACGCAGCAAAACGCGAUAUGUAGUGUGAAUUGCAGAAUUCAGUGAAUCAUCGAAUCUUUGAACGCAAAUGGCGCCCCUGGGUAUUCCCAGGAGCAUGUCUGUCUCAGUGUCGUUUUCACCUCGAGCACGCUUCGGCGUGGUGGUCUUGAGGCGUCUGGGAAAGCUCUUCUGCUUUUCCAGUCCCUUGAAAUCGAGUGGCCGGACAGUUGUGUGCUUUUCGAGUCGGUUCGUCUCGGAUUUCGCUCGCACGGCUGAUGGCGAGAUUCCUCGUAAUCUCCCUUGUCGUGUCGCAGCGGUCGAGUCGAGCCUGAUCUCGGAUGUAUGGCCCUGUGUCCGAAUCAAGCCAGUUCUGGAAAACGACCGUUGUCUUCCUUUUUUUCUUCACAGAGAGAGAGAGAGGAUAACAUCUUCGANCCUGAGAUCAGGCAAGACUANCCGCUGAAUUUAAGCAUAUUNANUANGCGGANGA
rnacentral:rRNA from 1 species